CACGGUCGCGGGCGCCGGCGGGCCUUGUCGAGGUCGACCGGCUGCACUUUCCUACGGUGGGAGCACAGGUACGACGCGCCGUCCUCCAGCUCCUCCAGGCGUGUGAUGCUGUGCCUUCCCCGAGGGGUGCUGAUGUUCCUCACCCCGAAAGCCCUGUAUGGCAGCCAACUAUGGGGGACAAGAGGCCGCAUCCCUGAAGCAGCUUAGGGAAGCCAAGGACACAUAAAUAGCACAUAGGCUGGGACCUCUCUAAGGCAGGAAAGAGUGAUGGAGAAAAUAGUGUCUUCCUUCUCCCUGCUUUUACCCUCGGGUGAAAAAGAACUCCUCUCCCACCAGUUAAUCGUAAUGCUAUGGAUUUGGACAUUAUCUAUGCUUCCAGUGAUCAAGUACCCUGCUGUUUCCAGACAUCUCUAUAGCUUUUCUGCAUUUCAGUAGCUUUGUUAUGUCAAGGAACAACUAAUCGAGGACCCUUAAAUUCCAAGUCAUCAUAAGACCAUCCUCAUGAAGUGAAGGAAUUGCUUUUGCAGAAUUCCUGAGUCAUUACGCAUUCACUUCUUCAAUUCAUCUAAAGUUGGAUGACUCAUUGGCUGAGGACAAGGUCCAUAGCCCAGAUGUAAGAAAGUUCUGAUUCAUUUUGAGCCAAACUGAUCCACAAAAUGUCCUCUCUUUUAUCUAAGUUCUGUACUUGACAGCAAGGGGAUGUUCAAUGUAAAUUGUGGAAAUGUCCCCCAAAGUGGCCUUUGAUGGGGAACCACUGGAUGGGGGUAGCUGUUGCUUCAAAUUCUAGGCAGGAGGGCAAGCACUAAACACAAAGGAGGCCUGAAAAUAAGUGAGAGGGCCCAAACAUCUGGUUGGAGUGUUUUGUUUUGUUUU